UAUAUGCUCUAUUGGUGUAAAACAUGUUGAAGUACUAUUGUAUUGUUAGACAGUAUAAAAUAUCACUGAAAAGAGGAGACUGCAUUGCUACAAACGAUUAUUCUUCUAUUUAUCACAUGGAAGACAGACUGGAACAGAGAGGCCUCAGAAGCCGAAGAUAGGAUUAAGGUGUGGGGAGGUUCAGUAGAACCCAUCACAGACAGUUGAGUGAAGGUUCUUGCUGGUUUUGUGACUGAAUUAUUGAGCCCUUGAUCGAGAGACAAGGACAGAGGAGACUUAGGUUCUUUCUGCAUCAGUAGACAAGUUAAUCAUUUUUGUAGGUUUAUGAAUGAAUAUGGGCUUGUUUGUAUUAGUUUGAGGAACCUAUGGCAAGAUAUAGCCAAGGAGAUAAGGAGAACAACCUACUGGUGAAAAUCUAAAACCAAGAGUUAGAUGGCUGCUCUGCUGGGAUUCUUUCCCUCACUUGGUUGAUUGUGCUUAGAUGACCUGGUUGGAGGAUACUGACCAUUUUCAGUUUAUACUCUGGUUUAAUUACUCUCAUUUUUUAAAUUGAACAAAGCAAUUAACUAAAUAAUACAAUA